AUUUAGUCUUUGACACUGUAAAUAGACGGCGACCGGAAAAACCAACAACUACAGUGAGUUGGUAAAACCUUUCUUUUCAGUAAACUCUGUGUACACAAUUGUCUCAACGCUGGAGUUCCUGUGUAGAGUCCCUGGCGAGCAAAGUUUCAUGUUGUG